GUUUGGAGGCCGCUGAUUGGCUAGAUCGGCAUCGGAGGGCGGGAAAUCUCGAAAACAAAAUGGCGGCGAUGGGCGGGGCUACAUUCUGCCGCUAAUAGCUCCGUACAACGAGGCAAGUGUGACGGUUUGUAACUUCCUGUUUGGACCGGACGCAAUCUGUGCACCUGAAGCGAAGACAUCUGUGGUGUGAAGCUGUUAGAGACAACUAUUAUAUUAAAGACACAUGAGAGGAUGGCUGAAGGUGCGAGGCGAAGGAGAAAG